rnacentral:tRNA from 1 species
CAGAGAAUAGUUUAUUAAAAUUUUAAUUUUGGAGAUUAAAGAUAAGAGUUAUUCUUUUCUCUGA